UACGUAGGGGGCAAGCGUUGUCCGGAUUUAUUGGGCGUAAAGCGCGUGUAGGCGGCCAUACAGGUCCGUUGUGAAAACUCGAGGCUUAACCUCGAGACGUCGAUGGAAACCGUAUGGCUAGAGUCCGGAAGAGGAGAGUGGAAUUCCUGGUGUAGCGGUGAAAUGCGCAGAUAUCAGGAAGAACACCCGUGGCGAAGGCGGCUCUCUGGGACGGUACUGACGCUGAGGCGCGAAAGCUAGGGGAGCGAACUGG
rnacentral:rRNA from 1 species